rnacentral:rRNA from 1 species
UACGGGAGGCAGCAGUAGGGAAUCUUCGGCAAUGGACGGAAGUCUGACCGAGCAACGCCGCGUGAGUGAAGAAGGUUUUCGGAUCGUAAAGCUCUGUUGUAAGAGAAGAACGAGUGUGAGAGUGGAAAGUUCACACUGUGACGGUAUCUUACCAGAAAGGGACGGCUAACUACGUGCCAGCAGCCGCGGUAAUACGUAGGGUGCGAGCGUUGUCCGGAAUUACUGGGCGUAAAGAGCUCGUAGGUGGUUUGUCGCGUCGUUUGUGGAAUACCGCAGCUUAACUGCGGGGUUGCAGGCGAUACGGGCAUAACUUGAGUGCUGUAGGGGAGACUGGAAUUCCUGGUGUAGCGGUGGAAUGCGCAGAUAUCAGGAGGAACACCGAUGGCGAAGGCAGGUCUCUGGGCAGUAACUGACGCUGAGGAGCGAAAGCAUGGGUAGCAAACAGGAUUAGAUACCCUGGUAGUCC